rnacentral:rRNA from 1 species
AGCAGCCGCGGUAAUUCCAGCUCCAAUAGCGUAUAUUAAAGUUGUUGCAGUUAAAAAGCUCGUAGUUGAAUUUCGGGGUCAGUAGAUUGGUCGUGCCACUGGUAUGUACUGGUCUUACUGGCUCCUCCUUCCUGAUGAACCGUAAUGCCAUUAAUUUGGUGUUGCGGGGAGACUGGACUGUUACCUUGAAAAAAUUAGAGUGUUUAAAGCAGGCUAACGCUUGAAUACAUUAGCAUGGAAUAAUGAAAUAGGACGUUCGAUCUUAUUUUGUUGGUUUCUAGGAUUGACGUAAUGAUUAAUAGGGAUAGUUGGGGGCAUUAGUAUUCAAUUGUCAGAGGUGAAAUUCUUGGAUUUAUUGAAGACUAACUACUGCGAAAGCAUUUGCCAAGGAUGUUUUCAUUAAUCAAGAACGAAAGUUAGGGGAUCGAAGACGAUUAGAUACCGUCGUAGUCUUAACCAUAAACUAUGCCGACUAGGGAUCGGAUGAUGUUAAUUUUUUAAUGACUCAUUCGGCGCCUUA